UGUGUUUUAUACACUUAUUCGGAGCUCUAAAAUAACGAUAUUUGAUAGUCCUUUGACAAAAUACAUUUUAAAUUGUUGUGUUUUACGUUUAAUAUGUGAAACUCUACGAUUGAAAAGGAAGUGAAUGAGAGAAGCAAAAACGAGCGGAAAUAGCAAAAUCCAAAGUACGUGAAUUAAAUUGGCCAUUGAAUGCAAUUUUUGGGAAUCAAAGUCUAACUAUAAAAAUUGGACUGAUUUGCAUCGCUUUGAAAAUUGAGUGCUUGGAGAAAAACAAUCUACCAAAUGGGCUCAAUUGGACUUGCUUUGAAAUUCAAAUUCAAGAUUUACUUGGACGGUUGGACCUCUAAUUGGACUAGAAGAGCUGCUAGGUUGCAUUGCAUCAUAUGAUUCAUAUAUAUACACACAGAAAAUCCAAAGAAAGAGGGGAGCAGCCUGGGAAAUAAAGAUACGUAUACAUUGGUGGCUACAAGAAUUAGAUAUACAGAAAAAAAAAAGGAUGGUCGGCAUCUUUGGGAGGAGAAUUCUGCCAUUAAAUAUAUGAACACAGAGAGCCAGG
rnacentral:lncRNA from 1 species